CAUAGGCUAGAAAGUCCAAAGACUCCCUCUAGCCACCUUCCAAGCACACCUCAUUAUUUCAUUUUUCCAAUUACUCCACCGUGCUUCUCUCUCCUCCACGGAGAUCCAUUACUCCACUGCCACAAUCCUUGUGCCUACGUCAGCGUUACAACCACGCGUCCUCCUCUGACUCGUGCUAGCAUCACCACGAGCUCAUUUCUCAUUCAGACGCACCGAGACCUCACUUCUCCCAUUUCAUCACAUUUCUAGGUUUGCUCUGGAGAAACAUUUUCUCUCGAGAGUUCCUCAACUUGGAGGAGCUUUACUGGCCUUCGCGUCGCGCCAAUCGGAUAGCUCCUCAAGGCGUCUUCCAUCAACUGGUAGUCAGAGCAAGGUUGCGUCCACGCGACAAAGAUAAGUAUCUCGAUCUCUGUUUUUGGUUUCCUCUGUCUCGGUUUCAUCUUGUUUCGAAUCUGUCUUGUGUUGAUCCGCGUUGUUAUGUUGAUCUGUUCAUUUUGAUUCGCGUCUUUGUCUUUGUUAUUAGCUUUGUGUUUUGUUUCAGUUUGAUUCUCAGCUUGUGUUUCUUUUGAUUCACGUUGUCUAUCAUUUUCCUGUAAUGUCUUGAUUUGUUUUUUUUUUCUGAUUUGAGUUGUUGAAUCUUGUUUCAGUUUCUGUGUUUGUUUGGUCUUGAAUCUGCAUUUCUGUGAUUAGAAUUCCUGAUUUUGUUUGUGCUUAUCUUGUGCUUUGAGUCUGAUUUCAUAAUUUUUAUUUCGGUCUAUUCCUUAGUUUGAGUCAUUUUAUUUUGAGUAUCUUAUCUUGUUUUGUCUAAGUCAUGUGUAUUUGCUGAAUUUUGUCCAAAUUCUGAGUUGAACCUGUGCCUGGAUGAAUCUGCAUAUCUGGAAUUGAUCUUUCAAUAGAUGCACACAAAAUGAGCAAUGAUUAAUGAGCUUAGUGCAUCUAGAAGUCAAUCACAGUGCAGUACCAGUAGAAUCACAAAUCCAAAUUUGUUUCAAAUCUGAUGUUAAUGGUUGAAUUCAAUGCACCGAGUUAAAUUGUAGUUCUAGUGUUAACUGAUGCACUGCCAUAGUGUGUAAACAUACCAAAUAAACAGUGAUUUGUCUCAGACAAACCAAUCAGGUGGUAUCACACUGCAGAAUCCAGAAUUUCUUUGCCUAGCAGCUUGACCGAACUGCAACCUCUUUGUUUGAGUUGAGUUUUGUUUUUUUUAAAUCUAGUAUAGCACUUAAAUCUUUUGCUAACCAUCCAUUACAAGUUCUGCCAUUUUGUGCAAUUUUUAACUGUUGAUUUUGAUUCCUAUUGAGUGCCUAAAAGUCAUUUGCACCUUUGCAUCUCAAAAUUGGUAAUUGAUUUGACUGAAUUGGUGUGAAACGUGGACUCAACUAGUCAAAUUUUGAAUUACAGCUAAUUAGCCUCAAUUGACAGCACUUAUACGUUUAAACCACUGAUUUGGACUUGCUUGUGCUGUAAAAUUGAGUGUUUAAGUAAUCUGGUGCAAAUUCUUUUCUGAGCCAUCAAUUUCAGGCACUUAAUUGUUUCUAAUACAAGUUGUUUUCAAUUUUAAAUGCAUGUGUUUGUUGUUCUGUGCAUCAUUAGCUGAAUAAAGAUUGGCAGCAAAAGCUUGGUUUACAUUACAAUAUAUAAAAAAGAAGAAGAAGGAAAGAUAUAAGCAGUAAUAAAAAGCAGUGCCAAAACCAUGUCAUUUCUAGUUCAACUUGUAACUGGUUUCUUGUUUUCUAAAUCUAUUCUAGAGCUAUUGGUAGGUUCAAAUUGUGUGUCAGCCUUGCUAAGUUUCUUUUUCUUGCUUGUCUUGAUUGCUAAAUCUGGUUUUGUCCAAUACAAGUAAACUUUGAUCUGCCAUUCCUAAUUUUGAGCUUUACUUGUUUUUAAAAUCUAAUCUAGAGUUUCUUGUGAGUCUGUUUGCUUUGUUUGUUCUAUUCUGUUCUGUGAUCUUUGUCAUGUUUUGUGCUGUUAUUGGCUGAGAAGCAUUUCAUUCUGGAUUUUUGGAAUCUGAAAGAGGAUUGUGUGCUUGGUAGCAUCCUAGGUGGUGGUGGUCUGAAAGACUAUCCAGCCUUGAACUGACAAGGGAGAAUCUCUCUUCCAAACCUUGCGUUUAUGUGCUUAAAAUUUUUAAAGAGAAGCCUUGAGUGAUGUGAGUUCUGUGAGGCUGUUUUAAGCAUAAUUUUCCUUGGCAAUUUUGUGAGAGGAAGUUGAUCUUUACUUAACUGUUGAUUACUGUUUUGGAUUGUUCAUUGUGCAGGAAAAGGAAAUUGAGAGAUCAGAUUGGAGCAUUUUUGUGCUUGUUUAAGUUGUUAUUCCAUUGCAUUUAGAUUGUAAAAUGUUUGCUGAAUUUAGUGAGAUAUUGAAAGCUUGAAUGUGCUUACUGAUUUCUUGGUGAUACUAUUUGUGCUUGUGAAUGUUUAAGCUGUCAUUGCACUCAUUUUAGUUUCAAACAUUGCUUGCUGAAUUCAUUGAUAUACUCACGGUUGUGAAAGGGAAGUUUUGAUUUCAUGGUUUACUUGGGCAUGUUGAAUGCGGAUUCUGAAUUGAUAAGAUCUAGUGAAUUUGUUAGAUGAAAUAGGAAGUUGCAAACACCGUUCUGAUUGCAUUCUGAACUUCAUUUCUACAAUAACUUGUUUCAACUACAUAUGCAUCAUAUCUAAUGGAAUCUGCGUCACUCUUUCUGCAUUGGAUUGAAUAGAUUUUAAAUCAGAUUAUAUGGUUGUUAAAAUCAGUUUAGUUCAGCUUUGGAGUACAUCCAUUUACAUCUGGUUUAAUAUCAAUGUUUAUGUGUUUUGCUGGAAUCGGUAAUACUUUGUAAGUGAAUAAACUAAUUGAUUUUUUGGAAUUUAGCUUGAGUAAGCAUUAGCAGGUUGAGAAGGGUGAGCUAGAUCCUUGAAACAGUAGCAGCAACAUUUGUGUGUAGUUUUGAUUUUGAAGGGAGUCUUCUCCCCUAAACUGAUUGUGUUUUGAAUAAACUGAUCUUAUAUAAUUGUACUUGAUUGCAAUGAGUGAAUUGUUGAUGUUGGCAUACUCUGGCUGCAGAUUGUAAUUGGAGACCAAAGCAAUUAAAUUAGCUGCAUGAAGUGUACAAGACCGAGAAAAGGGAAGUUAUAAUUCUUUAUCUUGUGCAUUGUAUCUUGCAAUCUGUUUAGCCAAAAGAAUAUUAAGCUGUGUGAUGUGUGCAGGAGUGGUGAAUCAGAUCCAAAGAGAGUGGAACCCAGAAGUUAGAAAAGUUUAAACUGCUAGAAACAACAGGAACGUACACGUGAAUCUUCAUGGAAAAAUUGGCAAGGACCUGGACCGUAGCAGCAUAGUGGACAACAAGAAGUUGGGUCGUAGCAUAGGAUUAAAUUCAUUUGGUUUUUUUAUUUUCUUUGUAUUUGAUGGGCUUGUGUCAGCCCACUGUCACUCUUAGCUUUAGGUUUGGUUUGUAAAUGGCCUUUUAUAAAGUCCAAGUAGAUUGGAAGAGUUCUUAGUGCUCUUUCCAACUCUUGGCAACUUUAAUUGUUUUCUUUUAUUGUCUUUGAUUUUGUCAUUCA